CGCGAGAUCGUGACCUGGCUGAAGUCGGACGCUUAACCGACUGCCACCCAGGCGCCCCAGGUUAGAAGGCUAUUGAGGUAGGAAUGCUGCAAAUUGAGGUAAUGACAUCAACUCAACAUUUAUUGAUUUUGCUACAUUUGUGUACUGUGAGCCACUGUGGAAGGAAGACCCAGAUGAAUACAGCAUAUGGUUCCUACAUUUUGUGUUCAGAAUUGUGUUAGACGUGUUUGUAACUUCUUACUCUUUAACUAUUUUUUAACCAUUCUUCUGUAAAGCUGAGAGUUUUUCCACAUGACCUAGUUUUUAUGGGAGUAUUAAAGGCGCAAAAAAUUAUUUCAUUAACCCAACAUAAGUCAGUGUUAAAAUCCACCCUCACACAAACGUAACUUACUCUUCACCCUAUGUUACCUUUAUUGAUGGAGAAAUUAAACUAUCACUUAAAAACAUUAAGUCACCCUCUUUCACAUCCAAGCUAGAGAUCAAGUGAGCUGUUUGAACUGGAAUUUAUGGUGUAAUGAUUUAUCAUACAUACAUACAUACAUACAUACAUAAAAGCCAAAGUUACUCAGUAUGGAGAAAGGCAAAGCCAAAAUGGGAAAUGGGCACAUAAUCUGUUACGUGGUGGUAAUGUGUACCCCUAAAAUCCUGAGCAUAAAAAAACAAGAAACAAAAAAACAAAAAACUAUAGACUUAGCUCAGAGAGGUAGCUAGAUGUUUUACUCUCAAAAUUUUGGGGUGGUGCGGGGGGUACUGAAUACUUUUUAAAAAAUCAACUAUAGCUGAAAGAUGGGUUUAUAAUGAAAGUAAAUGAGUGUGGAGCCUAUUUGGGAUUCUCUCUCUCUCUCUGUCUCUGUCUCUCUCUCUCUGUGCCCCUAUGUGUGCAUGCUCUCUCUCUCUCGCUCUUGCUCUCUCGCUCUCUCUAAAAAAUAAAAAAAAAUAAAGAGGAUUUUUAAGAUAUAAAUCUCUGUGUGUAUGUCCAUGUAAGUGACGUGCAGAGUAGCAAUUAUUGCUGUGAUAGGUAGAACAUAACGUAUGCUUAGGUUUGUAAAAACACUAGAAUUGUGUGUUCAGUCCAUUCUCAUACACAUAGGUAGCAGUUUCAGACAGGAGCCCAUGUACCCACUGGUGAAGCACUCAGAGCCCCAAUCUUUAACUUUAGGAGUGGGCAAAUUUAACAGGGAAAUUAAUCUGAGAUGAAUUAGAAAGAGAUUAUUUUGUGAAUGACAGUUUUCAAUGUCAAACACUGGCUCAGAUGCUCACCAUUAUUCCUGUAUAAUAAGAGCUUAUAUUUAUUAAACACUAUCAAGCACUAUUAUAAGAGCUUUCCGUGUAUUGUCUUAUUCCUAUCAACAGUCACAUGAGGAAGAUGCUGUGAACCCAGUUUUUUGCAGGAGAUGAGACUGAGGCCUGUGGUCACAUGGUUCCUAAGUGCCAGUCUACCCCCAAAGCUAUACUCUGAACCAUGCCUAUGCCAUACACAGCAGAAAAUGACAUAAGGCAUUGAAUUCAGGGUCCUCUAAGAUCCCUUGCAACUGAUAAAGACACACUUAAUAAUAUUAUACUUUACCUCUGACCAUCAAGCAGUUCUGGUUUCUAAGUAAAAACUGCUUCUAAGCAUUAAAGUAGCUCCUUUCAUAUCUUCAUUAUUUUUUUUAUUUAAAUAAUUGUUUUAAGUUUAUUUAUUUUGAGAGAGAGAGCACAAGAAGUGGAGGGGCAGAGAGAGAGAAUCUCAAGCAGGCUCUGCAGGGUCAGCAUAGAGCCUGAUGUGGGGCAUGAACCCACAAAACUGUGAGAUCAUCACCUGAGCCAAAAUCAAGAGUAGGAUGCUUAACCAACUGAGCCACCCAGGCACCCCUCAGUUAUUUUUUAAGAGUUAACUAUGUGGACCAACAACCUCUUAGUGAUAUUCAUAGUCUUUUUGCAAAACUUCAAAGGGAUUUGUAGGAACUAAUCUAUCCUGCAAAAAGAACAUUUAACCAAAGCUUAAUAAUUUGCUUCAUUUUCUUCUGUUAAAUAUAAGUAAUGAUGUAUGUAUGGCAUAUAUUACAGGAGCCUUUUUUGUAAAUUUAUCCUUAUUUGUAAAUUUGCAAACAGAUUUUGUGAAGUGAUGUUAAUAAUGGUUAUUUCUAUGCCAUAUGAUCUAGUAAUUCCACUACUGGGUAUUUACCCAAAGGAAAUAAAACACUAAUUUGAAAAGA